GUGAAUCAUCAAAUUUUUGAACGCAAAUUGCACUCUCUUCGGAGAGUAUGCCUGUUUGAGGGUCAGCCUAAAAAAAUCGACAUAGUCGCUGUUUCGCGGUGACAUUCGUCGGGAAUUGUGUCAUCUUAAACCGUUGGGUUUUAAGCGGCUUAAAAUUUUCUUUACGAUUCCACGAACGUUUCUACAAUUUACUUCUUAUACGUUUAAGGUA
rnacentral:misc_RNA from 1 species